rnacentral:lncRNA from 1 species
UGGGCCUGAUGUGCUCUGUGAAGUUCGAACACUGUAUCGACCAUCUCAGCUCUCAGGACAGCAUGUGACACCUCCAUCACUGGGAGCAAACUCUGUGCAGGAGCACCUGAUUCUGCCAGGGCAGAAAUUCGCUCUCAGGAGCACGUUCCACUCAAGCGGACUUGGCCUGCGCUGUGAGUCAAUGUGAAGAGGGUGUGUUGGCUUCGGCUGGUUGACCUUCAGAAGUCGGAGAAGGCCAAAGUCCCACUGAAUAAACUGCAGAUGAAAGAGACUCAUGGGUCCUCAGAAGGAGGCAUAUGGCUGCUCUCAGGAUCUUGACUUUUGAAAUAUUUGUUUAAAGCAAACACUUGCAGUGGCUGUGGAAAGCCUCCCGUUUCCUCUGGACCCUCAGCCUCUCCCUCGCAG